AUGCAGCUGGUAAAGAUGAACAUCACUCAACACUGUGUGGAGCAGCUGAGCAGUUCUAGAGCCUCAGAAGUCAUAACUCCAAAUAGUGACACAGAAUUGUCUCUUGAGGGUGACAAUGUGACACUCUCCUGUAACUACAGCGGUUCUGCUCAUGCUGUUCACUGGUAUCGGCAAUAUGCAGGAUCACCACCACAGUUCCUCAUACUGGAAGAUUCAGGGGCAACAAUUCCAGCUAAUCCACCCGUUCCAGGAAUAACCAUCAGUCACAGAAAAACAGAACUCCAUGUGGAUCUGAUCAUCUCCUCUGCUAAAGUCACAGACUCCGCUCUGUACUACUGUGCUCUGAGGCCCACAGUGACAGGAAAACAAGCUACACUGUACAAAACCUGA